rnacentral:rRNA from 1 species
GACGAACGCUGGCGGCGUGCCUAAUACAUGCAAGUUGGGCGCUGAAGGUUGGUACUUGUACCAACUGGAUGAGCAGCGAACGGGUGAGUAACGCGUGGGGAAUCUGCCUUUGAGCGGGGGACAACAUUUGGAAACGAAUGCUAAUACCGCAUAAAAACUUUAAACACAAGUUUUAAGUUUGAAAGAUGCAAUUGCAUCACUCAAAGAUGAUCCCGCGUUGUAUUAGCUAGUUGGUGAGGUAAAGGCUCACCAAGGCGAUGAUACAUAGCCGACCUGAGAGGGUGAUCGGCCACAUUGGGACUGAGACACGGCCCAAACUCCUACGGGAGGCAGCAGUAGGGAAUCCUCGGCAAUGGACGAAAGUCUGACCGAGCAACGCCGCGUGAGUGAAGAAGGUUUUCGGAUCGUAAAACUCUGUUGGUAGAGAAGAACGUUGGUGAGAGUGGAAAGCUCAUCAAGUGACGGUAACUACCCAGAAAGGGACGGCUAACUACGUG